AUCCCUUUUUGGUUCAUGACUGUGAUGACUGGGUGUUCACACCAUUCCGUGAUAUGUGUCUCCCACAAACCUUGUGAUAGCAUCUGCACCUUAUCUAUCUGAUA